CUUGGGCAUCUUUUCAGAAGU
ensembl:piRNA 21ur-4706 ncRNA